rnacentral:rRNA from 1 species
CCCUGCCUUUUGUACACACCGCCCGUCGCUUCUACCGAUUGAGUGAUCCGGUGAACUUUCUGGACUUCUGGUUCACGCCAAGGAGGAAGUUAAGUAAACCUUAUCACUUAGAGGAAGAAGAAGUCGUA